GAAUGCUGACAUAAGUAACGAUAAAGCGGGUGAAAAGCCCGCUCGCCGGAAGACCAAGGGUUCCUGUCCAACGUUAAUCGGGGCAGGGUGAGUCGACCCCUAAGGCGAGGCCGAAAGGCGUAGUCGAUGGGAAACGGGUUAAUAUUCCCGUACUUGGUGUUACUGCGAAGGGGGGACGGAGAAGGCUAUGUUGGCCGGGCGACGGUUGUCCCGGUUUAAGCGUGUAGGUGUGUGUUCCAGGUAAAUCCGGUUCACUUUAACACUGAGGCGUGACGACGAGGCACUACGGUGCUGAAGCAACAAAUGCCCUGCUUCCAGGAAAAGCCUCUAAGCAUCAGGUAACAUCAAAUCGUACCCCAAACCGACACAGGUGGUCAGGUAGAGAAUACCAAGGCGCUUGAGAGAACUCGGGUGAAGGAACUAGGCAAAAUGGUGCCGUAACUUCGGGAGAAGGCACGCUGACACGUAGGUGAAGUGAUUUACUCAUGGAGCUGAAGUCAGUCGAAGAUACCAGCUGGCUGCAACUGUUUAUUAAAAACACAGCACUGUGCAAACACGAAAGUGGACGUAUACGGUGUGACGCCUGCCCGGUGCCGGAAGGUUAAUUGAUGGGGUCAGCGCAAGCGAAGCUCCUGAUCGAAGCCCCGGUAAACGGCGGCCGUAACUAUAACGGUCCUAAGGUAGCGAAAUUCCUUGUCGGGUAAGUUCCGACCUGCACGAAUGGCGUAAUGAUGGCCAGGCUGUCUCCACCCGAGACUCAGUGAAAUUGAACUCGCUGUGAAGAUGCAGUGUACCCGCGGCAAGACGGAAAGACCCCGUGAACCUUUACUAUAGCUUGACACUGAACAUUGAGCCUUGAUGUGUAGGAUAGGUGGGAGGCUUUGAAGUGUGGACGCCAGUCUGCAUGGAGCCGACCUUGAAAUACCACCCUUUAAUGUUUGAUGUUCUAACGUGGACCCGUGAUCCGGGUUGCGGACAGUGUCUGGUGGGUAGUUUGACUGGGGCGGUCUCCUCCUAAAGAGUAACGGAGGAGCACGAAGGUUGGCUAAUCCUGGUCGGACAUCAGGAGGUUAGUGCAAUGGCAUAAGCCAGCUUGACUGCGAGCGUGACGGCGCGAGCAGGUGCGAAAGCAGGUCAUAGUGAUCCGGUGGUUCUGAAUGGAAGGGCCAUCGCUCAACGGAUAAAAGGUACUCCGGGGAUAACAGGCUGAUACCGCCCAAGAGUUCAUAUCGACGGCGGUGUUUGGCACCUCGAUGUCGGCUCAUCACAUCCUGGGGCUGAAGUAGGUCCCAAGGGUAUGGCUGUUCGCCAUUUAAAGUGGUACGCGAGCUGGGUUUAGAACGUCGUGAGACAGUUCGGUCCCUAUCUGCCGUGGGCGCUGGAGAACUGAGGGGGGCUGCUCCUAGUACGAGAGGACCGGAGUGGACGCAUCACUGGUGUUCGGGUUGUCAUGCCAAUGGCACUGCCCGGUAGCUAAAUGCGGAAGAGAUAAGUGCUGAAAGCAUCUAAGCACGAAACUUGCCCCGAGAUGAGUUCUCCCU
rnacentral:rRNA from 1 species